AUUGAACGCUGGCGGCAUGCCUUACACAUGCAAGUCGAACGGUAACAGGUUAAGCUGACGAGUGGCGAACGGGUGAGUAAUAUAUCGGAACGUGCCCAGUCGUGGGGGAUAACGUAGCGAAAGCUACGCUAAUACCGCAUACGAUCUACGGAUGAAAGCGGGGGAUCGCAAGACCUCGCGCGAUUGGAGCGGCCGAUAACAGAUUAGGUUGUUGGUGAGGUAAAAGCUCACCAAGCCUGCGAUCUGUAGCUGGUCUGAGAGGACGACCAGCAAAACUGGAACUGAGACACGGUCCAGCCUCCUACGGGAGGCAGCAGUGGGGAAUUUUGGACAAUGGACGCAAGUCUGAUCCAGCAAUGCCGCGUGCAGGACGAAGGCCUUCGGGUUGUAAACUGCUUUUGUACGGAACGAAACGGUGAGCUCUAAUACAGUUUGCUAAUGACGGUACCGUAAGAAUAAGCACCGGCUAACUACGUGCCAGCCGCCGCCGUAA
rnacentral:rRNA from 1 species